AACUGCAGGAGGAGUGUGGGGGAAUCGUGACAGAGUUUAGAGAGAGAAGGCGAGAGAGGAAGAAGAGAGAGAGAGAGAGAGAGAGAGAGUGAUAGGAUGGAGGUUAUGGAGGAGCAAGCUAGCGCCUUUGAGUAGUGGUUACUACUCCGUCAUAAAUAUUCUUUUUUUCCGUUUCUGGUGUAAGCUUUCCGGCGAGAAUUCCGGUUUUUUCCCGGCGGUCUCACCGUUUGCUGCUUUGUCCCGUAGCUUUCCGUUUCGGGGCGAAACUAUUUCGGAUGGCCCGACUGAAAAUGGUCGUUUGAGUUCCAAAAGUCCCAAUCUUGCUGCAUCAUCCGUAGUCCCUUUUGAUUUUAUCAAUGUCAAGAUAUUUUUAAUCUUGUGAGAUUUUUGUUUUUUGUUUUUAAUGAAACAAUUUGUCUGCUUUUUUGGACUUUUGGAGGAUUGAAUAGUCCCAAAAUGUAAGAAAAAAGUUUUGGGUUUUUAAGAAGAUUUUUCGGGGCUGGAAUCAAGUUUAUGAGAAAGUUUUGAAGGGAAGGGUUGAUGAUUGAAGUAGUCUUCUGUUUUAUGAUACUUUUGUUGGUAGUUCUUUGCCCAUUGUUUGCGCACCGAUGAAUUGUUUAAUUAUUUUUUUGUUUGAUUCGUGCAAGCCAGUUUAAGUUCCUCCUAUUUUGGAGCUUGAGUUGAAUUCUAUUCAUAUGUAUUGAUAAUCCGAAGAAAUGGCUGUUUCUUUGUCUCGUUUCUCAUGGUGGGUGUGGGGUGGGAAGGAGAAAGAGUCGGUAGCUAAAGGGUCUUCGGUAAAUUCUUUGCAAGCAGAGAGUGUGAAGUUGUGGUCUGUGAGCCCUUCAACUAGGAAGGUGAAGAGGAAAUGGAAUAGUAGGGAAGAGAGGAGGAGGGGGAUGAUUGAUAAGGAGGAGUACGAUGUGGUGUUGGUGGCAUCUGAUGAUGUUUGUUUAUCAGGGUCUGAAUCCGAUGAUUCUGACUGGUCAAUUGGGUGGCUGGAACCACACGCCCCUGAUUUCCAGAGUGAUGAUGAGGCAGACAAUAGUUUUGCUGUGUUGGUUCCUUGCUAUAAGGCAUUAGUUGUUGAAGAGCCCAGCAAUCAGGUUUUGAGUGCCAUUAAGAGCCUUUCCAAUGAGUACUCUCCUGAGUUAUCCUUGCGAGCUUUCCAUUGUUUGUAUUGAACAUUUGAACGAACCGAUGAGGCCUCAGCCAAGUAUAUAUGUUGAGGAAGAGGUCGCGUGACUAAGAGAUCAAAGAAGGUAAGAAAUACAUGGAGCAGUGGCUUUCCUCACUCCAGAAUUUUUGAGGUCGUUGCUUAAUCCUCCUCGAUCUGUACUUGAUUAGAAUCAUUCACGCUCUUCUGCAUCAGCAUCUAGUAAUAGCGGAAGAACCACCAUUUCUUCUAUUUCGUUUAGAGAGCACGAAUAUCAACUUACAGCUGAAGUUAUUCAGUACUCUUGCAUCGUUUCAGGUUUGCCAUAGAAAGUGAGACCAUCCUUUUGACAUUUUAGUGUAAAUAUGGGCACCUGUGAAUAUGUGGCAAGUAUCUUCUGUUAAAUACUGUCUACUAAACCAGUGAGCUAAGCCCGUGUGGGCUAUGUGGCAAGUAUCUUGACUGGUGUUGUAAUAUAAGCUUUCCUUUUCCCAAUCCCUGACUAGUGUAGUGAACCACCACCAUUGUCAAUACCUUUUAUAUUAUUGAUAAAUGAUAGACUAUUGUCACUACUAA